UAGGGAAUAUUGGACAAUGGGUGAGAGCCUGAUCCAGCCAUGCCGCGUGCAGGAAGAAGGCGUUAUGCGUUGUAAACUGCUUUUGCCAGGGGAUAAAAAGACCGUGCGCGGUUAAUUGAAGGUACCUGGUGAAUAAGCCACGGCUAACUACGUGCCAGCAGCCGCGGUAAUACGUAGGUGGCAAGCGUUGUCCGGAUUUAUUGGGUGUAAAGGGUCCGUAGGUGGCCUAACAAGUCUGAUGUGAAAUCCCAUGGCUCAACCGUGGAACUGCAUUGGAAACUGUUGGGCUUGAGUACCGCAGAGGUAAAGGGAAUUCCCGGUGUAAGGGUGAAAUCUGUAGAUAUCGGGAGGAACACCAGUGGCGAAGGCGCUUUACUGGGCGGUUACUGACACUGAGGGACGAAAGCGAGGGGAGCAAACAGGAUUAGAUACCCAAGUAGUCCCUGAGCGGGCUGGCAAGGCG
rnacentral:rRNA from 1 species